rnacentral:rRNA from 1 species
UACAGAGGUGCCGAGCGUUAGGCGGAAUCACUGGGCUUAAAGCGUGUGUAGGCGGACGUCUAAGUACCUUGUGAAAUCCCACGGCUCAACCGUGGAACUGCUGGGUAUACUGCCUGUCUUGAGCCAGCCAGGGGCAGUCGGAACAGACGGUGGAGCGGUGAAAUGCGUAGAUAUCGUCUGGAACGCCAAAGGUGAAAACAGACUGCUGGGGCUGUGCUGACGCUGAGACACGAAAGCCAGGGGAGGCGAACGGG